GUACCCAUAGCUCAACUGGAUAGAGCGCUUGACUACGGAUCAAGAGGUUGGGAGUUCAAAUCUUCUUGGGUACGCCA
rnacentral:tRNA from 1 species